CAACAGGGAUUGCCUUAGUAACUGCGAGUGAAGCGGCAAAAGCUCAAAUUUGAAAUCUGGCAUCUUUUGGUGUCUGAGUUGUAAUUUAGAGGGGCAUUUUCAGGUUCAACACUAUUCUAAGUUCUUUGGAACAGGACAUCAUAGAGGGUGAGAAUCCCGUGCCUGGGUAGUUGUUUGAUCCUAUGUGAAGUGUCUCCGACGAGUCGAGUUGUUUGGGAAUGCAGCUCAAAAUGGGUGGUAAAUUUCAUCUAAAGCUAAAUAUUGGCGAGAGACCGAUAGCGCACAAGUAGAGUGAUCGAAAGAUGAAAAGCACUUUGAAAAGAGAGUUAAAAAGUACGUGAAAUUGUUGAAAGGGAAGCACUUGCGACCAGAAUCAAUCUUUAGGGGUCAUCCGAGUUUNGGCUUGGAGCCAUCCCUAUUGAUUGGGCUAGCAUCGGUUUUGGUGGUAGGAUAAAAGGUUGAGGGAAUGUGGCUCUCCUUGGAGAGUGUUAUAGCCCUUAUCAUAAUACUGCCUACUGGGACCGAGGAUCGCGCUUUUUAAUAAGCUAGGAUGCUGGCAUAAUGGUUUUAAGUGACCCGUCUUGAAACACGGACCAAGGAGUCUAACAUCUAUGCGAGUGUUUGGGUGGAAAACCCUUGCGCGUAAUGAAAGUAAAUGGAGGUGGGAACCUUUUAACAGAGGUGCACCAUCGACCAGUCCUAAUGUUUUUCGGAAGGAUCUGAGUAAGAGCAUAGCUGUUGGGACCCGAAAGAUGGUGAACUAUGCCUGAAUAGGGUGAAGCCAGAGGAAACUCUGGUGGAGGCUCGCAGCGGUU
rnacentral:rRNA from 1 species